rnacentral:lncRNA from 1 species
AGUGGUAGCAGUAGAAAAGAAACAUGGCUUCUCGUCACUUCAACCUCUUCUUUAUGCUACUUGUCUUACCGGUUUUAUUUCUUUCCCAGGUAUAUCUGAUUUCUAAUUACAGUUCCGAUAAUCUGUUUGGUUACUGAUAUGCACAAGGAAAACUGAAAAAGGGCAAGUUUUUAGGGUUACGUAUAUAUAUAAUGGAGUAUAAGGUAUUCUUUUAACUUCGCAACCAGUGGUAGCAGUAGAAAAGAAACAUGGCUUCUCGUCACUUCAACCUCUUCUUUAUGCUACUUGUCUUACCGGUUUUAUUUCUUUCCCAGGUAUAUCUGAUUUCUAAUUACAGUUCCGAUAAUCUGUUUGGUUACUGAUAUGCACAAGGAAAACUGAAAAAGGGCAAGUUUUUAGGGUUACGUAUAUAUAUAUACACACUCAUGGUAUGUACGUACAAUAUAAUUAGAGAGUUCGUGC